UGAGGGAUAUUGCACAAUGGGCGAAAGCCUGAUGCAGCGACGCCGCGUGGGUGAUGAAGGUCUUCGGAUCGUAAAGCCCUUUUCUGCAUGACGAGCAAGGACGGUAGUGCAGGAAUAAGUCUCGGCUAACUACGUGCCAGCAGCCGCGGUAAAACGUAGGAGGCAAGCGUUAUCCGGAGUUACUGGGCGUAAAGCGUGGGUAGGUGGUUGGACAAGUUCGGUGUGAAAGCGCCCGGCUUAACCGGGCGAGGGCAUUGAAGACUGUUCGGCUAGAGGGUGGUAGAGGGGCGUAGAAUUCCGGGUGUAGCGGUGAAAUGUGUAGAGAUCCGGAGGAAUACCAGUGGUGCAGACGGCGCCCUGGGCCACACCUGACACUGAGCCACGAAAGCGUGGGGAGCGAACGGGAUUAGAGACCCCGGUAGUCCACGCCGUAAACGAUGCGAACUAGGUGCGCACGGGUCGCAAGACCAGGGCGUGCCGCAGCUAACGCCAUAAGUUCGCCGCCU
rnacentral:rRNA from 1 species